rnacentral:lncRNA from 1 species
UCUCCUAUCCCAAGUCCCAACCAUUCUGCUAGUGGAGCCUUAUCUGAAGCAACCAAUCACGGUGAUCGAAAAUUUAAGCAGAUCAGAAGUUGCUGAUACAAUGAGUCUCCCAUUUUAUUUAGUUGCUAAUACAAUGAGGCUCUCAUUUUGUUUACUUUUCAAUCCUUCCAUAAACAUCACCUGAGAAGCACAUUAGAGGCUCAUCUCUCUGUCGCUUUAUCGGAAUCUGUUCAAUUUGGAGGUGCUUUGCCAAUCGGCUUGUCUGGUGGCCAUCUUUGUGCAUGCAGAAGGAAAAUUAUUGUAGGCUUAGAUUGACCUUCUAGGCUGGGGGAAGACUAAUUAGUAUCUCGCAGAACACAUAUGGUCCAAACAUCCAUAAACAUCAGUAUACUGAACAAUUCACAGUUAUAGACAUUCACACCUGUAGUUGAAAAAUUAUUGUGUUAACAAUUAGAACGUAUAUGACAAAGUCUCAAGGCUCCAAUCUAUUGGUUUUCCCUUGGUUCUAUUAUGUUUUGUAUGGUCCUAUCCUUGCACUUGCUUUUGUUGAAGGGUCAAUGUUAGCGCUUUGCUUUUGUUAUUCUGAACAUCUAUUUCUAUUGAUUGUUGCAUGUUCGGCAUAUAAUUUUUGCUUUCAUCAUACUCUUUGAUGCUAGUAGCAAUAUAUUGCAUAGAAAUGUCAUAUAACCAUUAUUUUCAUGUUUGUUUUCUUGCUAUUGUCAACAAAAGCCAUUAUGUAUACUUAGAUUUUCACAAACUUCCGUUAUGUUAUGCCCCAGCAAUGGCAAUAAUGAUCCCAAAGCAGAGCCGUUAUGAUUUUUGUUACUUGGGCAUUCACCAAGUUUUCUCCCUGUUUGUAGUGCAGGCGUGAGAAGCUCAUCUCUCUUGUGAAAUUUUCCUUUUAAAUCCUUUUGAAGUAUCUUGCGGAAUAUCACUUUAAUACCCUCUAGCACCAUAUUGUACAGAAUUUUCUAUAUUUCUUGAGUUUUUUUUUUAAGUCUGCAAUAUUUUAUGCCAAUAAUUUAUUUAUUUUUUGUUUGAUUGUUGUCUUCUCUUAGCAUUUAACACUAUAGGACUUUCAUUUCCAUUUGUUGUUUAUCUCCCAUGCGUGUUUGUUUGUUGGAAGAAUGUGAACAUGAACGAACACGAACACACACACACACACACAGCCAUUUCACUUUGCCAAUGGUGCAAGAACAAUGGUGAGGAAGAGACAUGAACGAACACGAACACACACACACACAGCCAUUUCACUUUGCCAAUGGUGCAAGAACAAUGGUGAGGAAGAGACAUGAAGUGCAUUGUGGUUCUUCUAUUAGUGUCUUUGGUAGCGUUGUCCUUCACGAAAUAGGUUGUGGGCCAAGCCACUUUCAAGUCCAACUUGUACCUUCACUAAGGUCCAAAUUUCACACAUGAAUAUGUUAUAUGCGAAAUUCUUUGUACACCACCUGCGGUGUAGAAAAACUGAUGUGGAGCGCACCACCUCACCUGAUUGGUCAACGUAGCGUUCUCAUGGCUCGAUGUAAUAGAUGUCGCUUCAAGCUAAAUCGGACGUCCGAAGGUGCGGAGAAAAUGAAGGUGGUGUACUGUUCCGUCACCGAUUACAUUUAAUGCACGUCACAAUCUGUUUUUCAAAUUUAAUAUAACGAAAAUAUCAUUUCUCUCCAAGAUGAUGUUUUUACUAUUUUGCAGUCUAGUUGGACAUUUUGAAUGCUGCUCUUCUCUCUCUUCUUCCUCAUUUUGUUGAGCAUCUGGAGUUUGAAAAAAAAAUUUUCAGCUAGAAUUGUGCGUCCAAGAUUGUUGAUUAGCAUUUAGAUAAUAUUAUCCAUCCAAACAAUAUAUGCCAUCCAUCAGGAAGUAAAAUGAUGUAUGUAGAUCUUUCAUUACUAUUUUGUGAUAGUUCAGUAGCUUCUUUGGUAGUUAAAAGAAGUUAAUGUGUUAAAGGUUCAAAUAGAGUUCUUUCAGUUUUGAAUACAGCAUAUCAUAAAAUUUUUUUGAAAAGUAUAAUAAGUCAGGAUGUCAUGACAUUCUAAGUUGAUAUUAUGACAUCCUAUAGAUAUAAUAGCUCGAAAGUAUAUUUUUGGAUAUUUUUAUGAUAUCCUGGGUCAAAAUGAUAACAUUUGAUGUUAAAUUUAUAAUAUCUUGUACGUAAAACACCUGUCGAAGGCAGUUUCGACAAUAUUAUGACAUCCUAGAGCUAAAUUAUAAUAUUGUAGGUUAAUAUUAUGACAUCUUGUAGGUAAAAUAAAAUUAAAAUAUUUUUUCUUAUUUUUAUGAUAUUUUGGGAUAAAAUUAUGACAUUCGAUGUGAAAAUUAUGACCUCAUAUAGUCAAAAUACCUUUAAA